GCCUAGCAUAUAGUCAUGUCAAGAAACAUUUAUUGACUAAGUAGACUCCUAAAGGGUUUUAUUAUCCCUAUCUUACUGUUGUUAAAAGAUAAAGCUCAAAAUGGCUAUAUGACUUUCUGAAAGUAACACAGUCAGUGAGUGGCAGAGGAAAUUUGAACCUAAUUCCAUCUGACUUCAGAGGUGUCAUCUUUCCCACCACUCAAUAGGGAUAACAGGGUGACCCUGAUGGUCAGACAAGUCAUUCGUGUCUCCCAAUAUAUGGAAAAUUCAAUGGUGGCAAGAAACUUAUCAGAUUUUGUAGCUCCAGGAGUUAGCAAAUAGCUUGGCAUGAAAUAAGGCUUCUACAAAAAAUAACUAAGGUGAAUUUGCUGCCAUGGUCUCUGCACCUGAAUAUUCAUUGGAAGGACUGAUGCUGAAACUCCAAUACUUUGGCCACCUCAUGUGAAGAACUGACACAUUGGAAAAGACCCUGAUGCUGGGAAAGAUUGAAGGCAGGAGGAGAAGGGGAUAACAGAGGAUGAGAUGGUUGGAUGGCAUUGCCAACUUGAUGGACUUAAGUUUGAGCAAGCUCUGGGAGUUGGUGAUGGACAGGGAAGUCUGGUGUGCUGCAGUCUGUGAGGUCACAAAGAGUUGGACAUGACUGAGCGACUGAACUGAACUGAAUGUUGAAAAAAUGUGAAUGAGAGUUUCUCUGCUUUCUUCUCAAUAUGAACAUCUCUGCUAGUGGCUUCUGCAAAAGUUCUAUAGAAGAAUACCUUUUGUGACAAGAUGGGUGGAUUUCAUAUUAUUUGUAUAAAUUUGAGUAGGAAGAAUAUUUUUCAAACAAGCAUUCAAUAGAAGGAUUCCAUUAUUUUGAUGAUUUUCUUUUGGUGAUUGCUUGCAAUCUCACGCCAACUACCCUCUGGUUACAAGUGGGUUUCAAGCUUUUUGCCUGCAGCAUUAUGGAGGUCAUUCUGGCUGUGGUUUCAUGCUCAGUCAGGCUAAAAAAUUUCCUCCAAGAGUCUGAGUUAGUGUCUCUGGUGACCUUUCAACAAGAUCAACAAUUGGAAAGCAUUUGGGUUCAUAAGAAUCCCCUGGGGAGCUUAUUAAAGAAAAGAUUCCUAUAUCCUACCGGCAGGUACUCUGUCUCAGUCGUUGCAAGAUGGGACUCAGAACCUCCAUUUUUAAUAAAUGCUCUAGGUGAUUCAGAAACAAAUGGUUUGGUAAUUAUACUACCUCCCUCCAACCCCUCCCCCCUUUCUAUAAUUUGUUUAUAUUUUACCUGAUAUCUGAAGUGGAACUGAAAUCUAUUAAAGAAAAUAAGGAAUAAAGACAUGAUUUUGCAUUAUAUUCAUUUCACUAUUUUUAUAAGCUGUAUCAAUUUAAAAUAAUGAAGAUGUGGAUCUUGUUAGGUGAAUGAUAAGGUAUUCCAGGAGGUUGGAAGUGGCCUUGCAUGACAUUUAGAAGUUAGAAUAGCCUGAUAGGGUAAGGCACAGUUGUCUCUUGCAUAUAUUAGAAGUGGAGGUGUAUUCUGGGGCAAUGAGACCCACGGUGUCCUUUAGAUUGGCAGCACCAGCAUAGCUUGGGACAUGGUUAGGAAUGUAAAUUCUUAGCCCCACCCUGACCUACUGCAUCAGAUCUUUAGGAGUGGGGUCCAGAACUCUGUACUUUAACAAGCCCUCCAGGAGAUUCUGAUGUACAUGAAAAGUGAGAAUAAUUGGUUUAGUGCACUUCUGUCUCUCCAUGGAGACUAUAUGUUUUUUUUUUUUUUUUUUUAAGUUUGAUAGUAUAUCUUACACUGUGGAAAUGUUGCUGGACUUGUUUCUCUAGAAUACAUUCACAUUUUAGAAUGAUUUAAUUAGGAUUUGGUUCACCCUAAAGAGACAACAACAAAAUCAACAGUGAAUUUAAAAGGGAGAAACUGCUUUCUCUCUUAAACUACAAGUUAGAACAAUUCAGGCCUAAAUUGACCUUCCAUGAUGUUAGAGCCCAGGGCUCCUUUUAUUUUAUUGCUCAGUCUAAUAAGCAUGCAUCCCCAGAUUCACUCAUUACCUCCGAGGUUUGCUGCAGCCAGAGCACGUACCUCUCUGCAUGCCAGUCAGCAGAAGGGAGAGAAUGGACUGGACCCAGGAGACACACACUGUGGCCACAUGCACGCCAUUGGCCAGGACCAAGCUAGUGGUGGUUGUUAGCUCCCGAGAAGGUGGCAAUAUGUGGUUUUAAUUGAAAAAGGCAAUAUACCUGACUCAAAUUCAAGGGUUUUAUCAUUGAGGAAGAAGAGGAAAAGAGAAAUUGGGUGAGGAGUUGGGGAUGGAUUUGUUUCUUCUGCCACAGUGGGAGUAGACACUUAUUGGGGAAACUUAUUUCUGAUACGUUCUUUUUCUUUCUUUUCAAAACUUUACUUCCCUUGCAUAUAGUUUUAAAGGAUGUUUUCCAUUUUUCCACUUCAUGUUUUUAAUCUAGUUCUUGAGUCAUUCUCAAUGGUUUGAGGAAACUAUUGCUUAAUCCUAUAGAAAUUAUAAUGAUGAAAUGAUCCUUAUUGUUUAUCUACUUAUCUCUAUAUCUAUCUGAAUGUGUUCAUAAUGUUUCCAUGACAAACUGUUGCUGCUUUCCUGGCAUAUGUUUAUGUAUGUGAAUAUAUAAAGAAAUUCU
ensembl:lncRNA